rnacentral:lncRNA from 1 species
GUAAUCCUUCUCUUUUGAUAAGCAAUAGAUAAAUCUUUUUUGCAGCCUUUGAGCAGCAACUUGGAGGGAGGAACCCCUACAGAGUUCCAAGGAGGCUGAUCCCCUAAAGAGAUCAACCCCAAGUUUAGAAUCUGCAAGGGUUCUAACACCUGGUAUCAGAGCAACGUUCUUGGCGUCUCGCUGCACUUCCAUCAACCCUCCACAACCAUCCAAAACAAUUCCCA